CCGGCCUUCACACUCAACGUGCGGCUGCGUUUGCGCCUGCCUGCGUUCGACCUCGCUGUAGUUCUCAGGCUUUUAAUUUUACUUGUGCUUACACAUUACACAUAAAAAUGUUCAUUUAUAGACAUCGAAAGCCGGCUAAAUGGAUUCCAGGAGAACGAACGCGUUAAGGAUAAAUUGGUUGAAAAAAGCGUAUAACCGGGUAGUGUCUACAAAAUCAAUGAAAUAUUUAACACUUGUAUGUAAAUUCAAGAAAGAGACAUAGUCAAUGUGUAAAACAACUACGAUUUAACCUUCUUAAGAGACCAACCUAAACAUUUAAUGUCAUUCUGCUAAAUUAUUUUAACAAACUAUAAUUUCUGUUUUAACUCUAUAUCCCUUUCUUGUUUCUCUUUUUUGCCUGUAUAUAUCUAUAAUUGAGAAUUUGAAUAAAUGAGAGUUUGUUAUUUUAAAACGUUAACAAAUAUAUAAAUCUUAAAAUUUGUUUCAUCCCAAAGGGUUGAGAGUGUUUUGGGAAGAUUAAUGAAAAAAGAACAACAUUUAACUUUAAAAUGGCAGUUCUUUGAAUUUUUGACAAUUUAAAACUUUGGAUAGCUGUAGAUCUAAGCUGAAAAUAAAACAUCAAAUGUAAUGGAA